rnacentral:lncRNA from 1 species
AGCAGUUCAUAUUUACCUGUUCAUGUUCCUUCAUCAAUUUCUUGAAAAAUAAUGCAAUAACUGCACUUUCUUUUUUCUAGGCACAAACACUUGAGAUAGUUAAGACAGCACAUCUCCCUGGUGACAGAAGAUCCAAGUGCUGUUUGAAUUGAUGGGCAUGAGACUGUGUGGCUGUGGAGUUAGCCCCAGCAACAAGACAGGA